AAGCAUCCACUGAUAGGCCUGUUGCCAUACUUGGUGGCCUCUGGGUUUGCACAAGGAUGCAACAGUAAUAUUCCUCAUAAUGUCUGGCCAUCUGGAAGGUGGUUGGAAAAGACUAAAUUGAGGAGAAAAUGA
ensembl:snoRNA small nucleolar RNA SNORA31